GCCUACCCGGCCACGACGAGGACCAGGGAAAGCAGUCACCGUGACCGACGUGCAGAGUAACGCCAGCCCUAAGCGGCUAGGGUGACGGGCUCGCGGCGCGAGCAGGACACAUUGCACGUUUUCCCAGUUUUGGCACCGGCGGCGCGGUUGGGAAGAGCAGUCCGGGCGCGGGGGAGGCGGAGCAGAGGAGGGACGAGGGAGGAGAGGGUGCAGCGGCGGGAGCUCGGGGGAGGUGGAGCAGAGGAGGGACGAGGGAGGAGAGGUUGCGGCGACGGGAGCUACGCGGCAGUCCCUACGGUAGUCGGGCUCGGAUCCUCUUCUGGUGAGGAUUAGAAUGAGCGGCGGCAACUAACCUAGCUCUCGCGGGUGUACCGGAGCGGUGGCGACGGCGGACCUAAACGAUCGGCGGCGUACCUCAGUGGGACCGGCGGCCCACCUCAGCGGGACCGGCGGCGGCUCUCAGUCGAGGUGGUAAUGGGGGUCCUUAGGUCAGGGCCGUUCCAUUGAAGGAAGCUUAGGGACGAGAGGGACCAGGAGGACGGGACGAACGACGUACACACAACACACGCAAACCGGUGAGGAGCUCGUUCGAGUUCAGGCAGCUGAAAAUGUCCAUGGUAGAAGGAGGGAAGGCUAGAAGUCUAGAGGUAUAGACCACUGACGCCACAAAACUAAAGCAACCUAAUGAUAGACAUAAACCCCUAAUCGAUACUUAACUACAAAAAUGAAACUCGUACCUAUCAGCCGUCAUGACUAAAUCCAGAAAAACAUCUUGUCUUACUAAUCGAGCAGAUAAAGACCUCUUGACGUGAUAUCUACUAUAUAAAUACUUGCUAGAAUUGUGACUUUUACGUUUUUAAUGCCAUACCAGAUUACUAUCAGCCACCCACACUGAAAAAACGACCGUAACAGGUCACGUCAAAAACCUAAAGAUGACUCAACAUGUCACAAAACUCUAAACAAAAACACAAUACGGUAGACGUCCUUUUAAGGGUCCCUAAACUAACUGCCUCCGUAGUGAUAAACUGCAACCUAAUAGGUAAAAACGUUGUGAUCGUUACAACAAAAACAAACCUUACCGGUCAAGAGUUAAAGAUAAGACAAUAGUUGCUAUGACAUGAAGAACAGUCCAAUGUAAUAGAAUGAACCAAAGUCAGAUAUACAUCGUGUUUUUAUCCAUUGUACCAAUAAAAGUACGAGCUAAACCAAACAUCCAAUGUGAUUCCUUGUGGUAGUAUUCCUUUUCCCGUAACGUGACGUAACAAAUAUUAACCGGACAAUGAUAAGCCAGACGACAUCACGAAUUAACGAUGUGGUGAAGUUCAAUACAUCAGAUUUUAUUGGGAAAGUUUACUUGAAAAAAUUAACUAUAAGUCUCGUAGUUGUACCACCUGAUCUAAUACUUUAGUUGAUACUAGUACUCUUGAACUUCGAUAAACAACUGAUUUAACAGUUAACAAAACGCACUUAACUUUGACCGUCACACUACUGUAAUGACAUCUACGAAACGAUAUAUGUAAACGGAUUAGGAUAGAGAGAGAGAUUAUACGAGAGAAAACACUUCUAGGAAACGUCUAGUUAACCACUCCGUCUUACGAUUCGUAGCAAAGUGUAAGUCCAAACGAUAGUUUGAGAGUUUUUCCUUUUUGUUGAAAUGAGACAAAAAACCUCUUGGAAGGACAUCUCAUGGAACUGUCUCUGUUUAUACGCCAGUUCCUAUAUAAGCUACCUAAAAGUGCGUUUUAAACCUCCUAUAAAAACGUCUAUCAAACCACGAGAGUACCAAUAAAACAUGACUAAAAGGAAGACAAGUAAUGAACCAUUGGUAGAUGCCGUCGAGUCGAUAACAGGUCGACGACUGGAACCAGUUCUCGGUACUUAUCCUCGUUCCGUAGUGUGAGGUCGAGACUCUUCUUUUCCUAUACUUCUGUUUCUAUAGUCACAAGACGAGGCUUUGUUUUUGUAAAACGCACAUUAUUACUGGACAUUAAAUGGUGUUAGAGAUUUUGUCCGGAUGGAUGAACGAAAACAUAAUCCUUCAUACUGAGUCAGUAUAUAUAAAUGUAAGUGCAACAAAUCAAUACCAAACAUACGUACUUUUAUGGCAAAAUUUACUCGGACUUUUAAGAAUAAAAGUCACUUUAACAUAGAUGGUGAAACAUUUCUUGCUUACUUUGUGUAAAGUUUAUUGAGAAAUAAGAUUU
rnacentral:rRNA from 1 species